AAACAGGCAGUUUGUGAAUAUUAAACAGAACAGUGGUGCUGAGCAUGGCUAAAGCAUCUCUGCAUUCACAGGGAGAGGAGCGGAAGACCUUCUGGUGUGGGCUGGGCAGCAAUUCACUUGAAGGAGAAACAGCCCGGGUGUGGAGAGGCGGCUGUCCUUGGAGGGAUCCUUUCUAAGGAGCCGAGAAAUCAACGUAGAGCUUCCUCUAUCUGAUUCUCUAACAACUGCAGACCUUCCAUGAGUCAAGCUUUGUGUCAAAAGGACAAAUUAAAAGGACCUAUAAAAGGCAUCACCAAGCCCAGUGGACAGAUGCCCCAGGCUGCACAUUCUGUCAGUGCUGUUCUGGAAAAGGCCCAAACACAUGCUGAAACAUGGAAGUAUAAGAAGCCAGCCCUCGGGAACCACCAGGAGCCAGGAGCACCCCGGCCCCGCAGGGCCCCAAGUUCAGCCUGCCCCAACCCCUCUGGUGCAGAGUUCCUGGGACACCAUCUGCAGCCCCGCCACGCCCCUCAAAGUCAAGGGCACAGGCGGCUGGGGCUUCCCCGCCCGCCCGACGACUUCCUGCUGCCCCAGCAGCCGCCACAGUCACCACCACGGCCCCUGGACGACCCAGAGCUCCUGCUGCCGCCCCCUGACUUCAUGGAGGCGCCCCAGGACUUCGUGCCCCCUCCCCCUGCUGUCGCCAAGAGGCCUCCUAUGCCCCACCCCCACAAGAGGCACGAAGCAUCAAUGUUCAGAUGCCGCAAAUGAAUAAAAUAAAUGAAUAAAAG
rnacentral:lncRNA from 1 species